rnacentral:lncRNA from 1 species
UAUGGACCAAUAGUUGUAAUAGGACCAAAAUUGUUUUAAUUGAGAUUAAAAUGUAUGUUUAUAUGUGAUGAGACCUAAAACCCUCAACCAAACCAUUAUUAAGUUGAUAAGCGUGAGAGUGCUUUGAACACUCUUUCGUGGCCUUCUACCGUGGUAGGCUCCAAUCAUUUAUGACUUGUACACCGCCUUCACCCUAUCAUGGGGGAGUGCAAAGUGCAUGCUUAUACUCAGGAGGAAUCUAUAUACAUACUUGAUGAGGUGAGUGUAGGCAACGAGGAUGGCCGACAUCGUAUCAUUGUGAGGCUAUUCUUGAACCCCUUCACGAACUAAGCAUGGUGGGAAUGACUUAACUAAGUGCAAUGGAGCCAACAUCAUAUCAUUGUGAGGUGACAUUCUCUAGAGGCCAAAUAGAUGGGUACUUGCAAGAGAUGCAAAUGAGUAAGCGUACUCUCUCAUUAUUAUUAAUGCUAGCCAACAUCAUAUCAUUGUAAGGUGGGCUUGGUAGUAGUGAGUCUCCCAUACCCUACUAAGAGUUUCAUCCAAAACUCUCGAAUUCCAAUGAGGGAUAUGGAAUUUGCCAAAAAUAGUGGGUGGUGCUAUUUGAUUUAAAGACCCGAAUCAAAUGGCUUAAAAUCAAUCAAUUUAUAUUCGUUAUGUAUUUACUUACCAAUAUAUUUGCAAACGCUAUCCAACACUUGACAAAUAAAAACCGAAAGUUUAGUUUCCGUACUUGGUACUACAAAACCAUAGAUUGUCUUUAAUGGCUUGUAAAUGUACCUAAGUAGUCUCAUCCUCACAAUCUUCCUAUUGAUAAUGUAUCAUUGGAAGAACAUGUUAGAUAAGGUCUAUCAUAAAGAGGACAACACUUUUAAUGUCAUAAUUCUUCAAAUACAAUUUGUUGUAUGAAGAAAUAGGAGUUGCUUUGAACAACUCUUAGUCAAUGCAAACACUUAGUGCUUGUUUCUUUGUUAUAUGAACAAAGAACUUGAGAAGAAAGCAAAAAGGCAUGGACACUUAAUGUGCCAUGAUUCUUCACUUACAAUUUGUUGUAUGA